rnacentral:rRNA from 1 species
UACGUAGGGUGCAAGCGUUAUCCGGAAUUAUUGGGCGUAAAGAGCUCGUAGGCGGUUUAUCGCGUCUGCUGUGAAAACUGGAGGCUCAACCUCCAGCCUGCAGUGGGUACGGGCAGACUAGAGUGCGGUAGGGGAGAUUGGAAUUCCUGGUGUAGCGGUGGAAUGCGCAGAUAUCAGGAGGAACACCGAUGGCGAAGGCAGAUCUCUGGGCCGUAACUGACGCUGAGGAGCGAAAGCGUGGGGAGCAAACAGG